GACGAACGCUGGCGGCGUGCUUAACACAUGCAAGUCGAACGGAAAGGCCCUGCUUUUGUGCGGUGCUCGAGUGGCGAACGGGUGAGUAACACGUGAGUAACCUGCCCUUGACUUUGGGAUAACUUCAGGAAACUGGGGCUAAUACCGGAUAGGAGCUCCUGCUGCAUGGUGGGGGUUGGAAAGUUUCGGCUGUUGGGGAUGGAUUCGCGGCUUAUCAGCUUGUUGGUGGGGUAGUGGCGUACCAAGGCUUUGACGGGUAGCCGGCCUGAGAGGGUGACCGGCCACAUGGGGACUGAGAUACGGAGCAGAAUGCUACGGGAGGCAGCAGUGGAGAAUAUUGCACAAUGGCGGGAAGCCUGAUGCAGCAACGCCGCGUGCGGGAUGCCGGCUUUCGGGUUGUAAACCGAUUUCGACUGUGACGAAGAGUGAGUGACGGUAAUGGGUAAAGAAGCACCGGCUAACUACGUG
rnacentral:rRNA from 1 species